GGCGGGCGGCGGCGGCGUCGUCGAGCGACAAUACAAGCGCCUCGGACCGAGUCCCCGAACCUGCCCUAGCCAAAAUGGCGGCCGAGAAAGAGCGGAAGUGACGUUAAAGAGGCUUUUGUAUACUGGAGAUAUAACCAAAAAAGGUCUAAGGUGACUUUACGCAGAGAUUGAAGGAUGAGCAGCAGAUGGUCAUCAAGGAGCAUGGAAACAGCAUUUCAGGCAAAGGAAAAUGGAACUCUGUGAACUCAGAAGCAUGCUAUGGCAUGGAAAGCAAAAAGGAAGGAGCACAAGGCAGAGGUCAGAAAGGGAGGCAGGGGCCAACAAACACAUAGGGGCUUGAGGGACAAGGGAAGGAACUUGGAUUUUUCCCUAGAUGUUAGUGGGAACUCCCUGAACUCCCUGAACUGGAGGGACAAUAAUCUGAUUCUGUUUUUAUGUAUCUAGCUUAAACUCAGAACAGCUU
rnacentral:lncRNA from 1 species